rnacentral:rRNA from 1 species
AUUGAACGCUGGCGGCAUGCCUUACACAUGCAAGUCGAACGGCAGCACGGGAGCAAUCCUGGUGGCGAGUGGCGAACGGGUGAGUAAUAUAUCGGAACGUGCCCAGUCGUGGGGGAUAACGUAGCGAAAGCUACGCUAAUACCGCAUACGAUCUAUGGAUGAAAGCGGGGGAUCGCAAGACCUCGCGCGAUUGGAGCGGCCGAUAUCAGAUUAGGUAGUUGGUGAGGUAAAGGCUCACCAAGCCGACGAUCUGUAGCUGGUCUGAGAGGACGACCAGCCACACUGGGACUGAGACACGGCCCCAGACUCCCUACGGGGAGGGCAGCAGUGGGGAAUUUUGGACAAUGGGCGCAAGCCUGAUCCAGCAAUG